rnacentral:rRNA from 1 species
ACGCUGGCGGCAGGCCUAACACAUGCAAGUCGAGCGGAAACGAGUUAUCUGAACCUUCGGGGAACGAUAACGGCGUCGAGCGGCGGACGGGUGAGUAAUGCCUAGGAAAUUGCCCUGAUGUGGGGGAUAACCAUUGGAAACGAUGGCUAAUACCGCAUGAUGCCUACGGGCCAAAGAGGGGGACCUUCGGGCCUCUCGCGUCAGGAUAUGCCUAGGUGGGAUUAGCUAGUUGGUGAGGUAAGGGCUCACCAAGGCGACGAUCCCUAGCUGGUCUGAGAGGAUGAUCAGCCACACUGGAACUGAGACACGGUCCAGACUCCUACGGGAGGCAGCAGUGGGGAAUAUUGCACAAUGGGCGCAAGCCUGAUGCAGCCAUGCCGCGUGUGUGAAGAAGGCCUUCGGGUUGUAAAGCACUUUCAGUCGUGAGGAAGGCGGCGUCGUUAAUAGCGGCGUUGUUUGACGUUAGCGACAGAAGAAGCACCGGCUAACUCCGUGCCAGCAGCCGCGGUAAUACGGAGGGUGCGAGCGUUAAUCGGAAUUACUGGGCGUAAAGCGCAUGCAGGUGGUUUGUUAAGUCAGAUGUGAAAGCCCGGGGCUCAACCUCGGAAUAGCAUUUGAAACUGGCAGACUAGAGUACUGUAGAGGGGGGUAGAAUUUCAGGUGUAGCGGUGAAAUGCGUAGAGAUCUGAAGGAAUACCGGUGGCGAAGGCGGCCCCCUGGACAGAUACUGACACUCAGAUGCGAAAGCGUGGGGAGCAAACAGGAUUAGAUACCCUGGUAGUCCACGCCGUAAACGAUGUCUACUUGGAGGUUGUGGCCUUGAGCCGUGGCUUUCGGAGCUAACGCGUUAAGUAGACCGCCUGGGGAGUACGGUCGCAAGAUUAAAACUCAAAUGAAUUGACGGGGGCCCGCACAAGCGGUGGAGCAUGUGGUUUAAUUCGAUGCAACGCGAAGAACCUUACCUACUCUUGACAUCCAGAGAACUUUCCAGAGAUGGAUUGGUGCCUUCGGGAACUCUGAGACAGGUGCUGCAUGGCUGUCGUCAGCUCGUGUUGUGAAAUGUUGGGUU